rnacentral:lncRNA from 1 species
AACUCUUGUCUGUCCUCUUCAUGGUGUCUCUUCCGUGUUUUGCUGAGCUGUUCUCAGGCACCCCCUCACUGCUCCCUCUUGAAAGGGUUGCUAGCCUUAACUUCAGCUGGUGCGAAACAUCUGACUGUUGUCAGACUCCAGCCAUCUGCUCCUGCAGCGUGCAGCUUUGGAUUGUUUGUGCAGAAAACAGCAAGCGAUGGCUGAUAAAUCUUAUCUUGCCAGAGGUAGUUUUUGAACAAGAAAAAGAACUUUGUAAAUCAUAUCAUUGGGAAAGUAUUUUCAAUAUUUAAAAAAAUUAAGCUGAAGAAAAACUGAUCUUUGAUCCUCCUGUGAAGAUGGACUUGCCUGGCCUUAGUCAUGUGGAAAUGGUGUACCCGGCUGAGAUUUUUACAGCAAUAAAGGGGACUCUCACUAGGCUAGAGGCCGCCUUCUGCUCCUCUCUUGCACUGACUCUGUGGAGGGGGUCUUCAUUCACUAAACUGACCCAGGAUGGAACACGAAACCACACGUGCCGUGACCUUUAGGUUUAUGAGUAGACAGUGUUAAUUUGAUUUUCUACAGGAAUUAUGUAACUUAUUCUUUAGGUUUAAAAAGAAUGCUCAAAGGCUAUACAGAGAAGCCCUGUAUCAAAAACCAAACCAAACAAACGAACAAGAUCAAUGCAAUAUGGGAAUAAUCAGUGAGGUUGGCUUUUUUCCCUACUGUUAAAUAGCAUUUGUCUAAUUGCUAAUAAGCCUGUCGUUACCAAAUUUUAUAUAAGAAUGGAAUAGUCAGUCUGGCCUUAAAGAGACACACAAAGAUGGGCUGUGAGCCCCUAGAAAGGGACUAGUUAGUUGCCUUUGAUAGAAUUCCUUGCACCUGCCAUUGUUGGUUUGAUGAACACGAUUAGGUACCCAGUGUGAUCCCACCCUCACCCCACCUCACCCAGAGCAAACCGUAGGACUGCUCCUAGAAGCAGCUCUGUUGACUUCUCUUGGAACACACCUGAACGCUUUCCUCAUUUCUAACCUGUGCCACCUCUUGUUUCGUUCAUGCUGAGCCUGUAGUUUCAGUCAUGGACUUUUGUACUGUUGAGUGCAAAGGCAUGUUGGGAAAGGUGUUGGGGAGGAAGAGAAGAUGGAUUUGAGAGGGGAGUUGGGAGACUAGAGAGUUCAAGGUCCCAGCAGGUUGGUAAAAGGAGGAGCCUACCAAGUUAGGAGGGAGAAAAAAGAUUAACCAGCUAGUUAGAAAACCAUUUAUUUUUCUUUCUUCUUUCCCCACUUGUUAGAGGUAGGGCUAUGAGGAAGCAAGGAUGGGAGGUGGGGUUGAGGUUUGGGAAGCAGGCAGCAAGCGUUACCUUUGCAGAAGACUCGUGUCUUGCUGUAGAAUCCAGUUUGGUUUCAGCAGCUUGACUUAAUGCACUUACAGGCUCAGGAAGGAAUUUGCUAUCACUGUUGUGGCUUUUGACUUGGGGUGGUCCAGUGCCAGGCUGGAAGUAAGCACAGCCCAUCUCCUGUUCACAUUCUCUAGACCGUCAUCACCUUUGCCCUGCUCUGGGGGACAGACAUGACAGUAAAAGUGUCCCGGGACUCUUUCCGUUCAUUGUUUGCUUUUUUGGCAACUAGGAGGUUGGCACUAAGACCCAGGACAAUGUUACUUCUCUGUGAUGUGUGGUGACUUCCCUCUGCUGGCUUAUGCAGUGAUGGUGAAUGAACCAGUCAGUGGAAAACUGCUGAGGUGGGACAGCUGGGAGCCAGGGAGCCGAAGCAGUGCUUCAGGGGGUACUGUCACUAAGCCCUCAAGAUACCCUUGUCCCUGAAGUAGGGACUAACUAUAGCACAAGAUAGUAUGUGCCAAUAUAGCCAAGAUAAUAUGUGAAAUGGUCUUUCUAAAUGAUUAAAGAAAUCAUUUGCGUUGGUUCUUGUUUUUUGUGUUUUCCCUCUAUUUUCAACCAAAUCCUAGAGCCAGCUGAGACUGCUGAGUAAUCUGAAGGCGAGAGCAAGGAUAUACCAGCGAGGUCAGCCCCUCUAGAAUGUUUGCUGGAUGGUGGAAGAUGUAAAAUAUUACCUUCUCCCUCUCCUCUUGACUUGUAUUUUACUGCAUGGUUUUUUUUUUUUCAUUUUUAAUCAAUAAAGAGUAAAUUGUCC